UACGUAGGGGGCAAGCGUUGUCCGGAAUUAUUGGGCGUAAAGGGCGCGCAGGCGGCUCGAAAAGUCGGAUGUGAAAGACCGGGGCUCAACCCCGGGAUGGCAUUGGAAACUGUCGGGCUUGAGUGCAGGAGAGGAGAGCGGAAUUCCACGUGUAGCGGUGAAAUGCGUAGAGAUGUGGAGGAACACCAGUGGCGAAGGCGGCUCUCUGGCCUGUAACUGACGCUGAGGCGCGAAAGCGUGGGUAGCGAACAGG
rnacentral:misc_RNA from 1 species